GUGCUGGGUCUUCGUUGCUGCGCUCAGGCUUUCUCUAGUUGCAGCAAGCAGGGGGCUACUCUUUGAUGUGGUGCUCACGCUUCUCGCGUGGUGGCUUCUCUCGUUGCAGAGCGUGGGCUCUAGAGCACAGGCUCAGUAAUCGUGAUGCACGGGCUUAGCUGCCCUGUGGCAUGUGGAACCUUCCCGACCAGGGAUCAAACCCCUGUCACCUGCAUUGGCAGGCAGAUUCUUAACCACUGAACUACUAGAGAAGUCCAAGAAGCAUUUCUUAAUCACUCUUUAAUUUUGCUCUUCCUCACGGCCUUCACUCCAGGCCAAGCCACAUCCACGGACGCAUUCUCUUCACUCUCUGAAAUCACUUCAAUUACUCAUUGGUUCCCUUAGCCUCUGUCUUCCUGCUCCAGACAUCAGUAUCCUGAGAGCAGGCCUCCACCAUGAUGCUCAUCCAACACACUCAGCCACCUGGAAAGCACCUGGUACCCAGUAAGUGAACCACAAGUAUUAAUCUGGAGCCUCCCUGGGGGGAAAACUCCAGAUUCUUCACUGUUCCUCACUCCCGCCUGCUAUCAGAGGCCUGUUCUGAAAUCUGAUCCUGGGUUGCUACUAAGCACUGUGCAUUGUCCCCCAGGGAAAGGGAGAUCAGCAACCAAAAGGGCCAAGAGCGUUGAAGAGUGAGAAGCUGAAACCGACUCACUUGAUUAUGGAGGCUAAGAAGAGGAGACCCAAGAAAGCCAGUGAUGUAACUCCAGUCCAAGUCUGAAGACCGGAGAACCAGGAGUGCCUAUGGUAUAAGUCCUGAUCCAAGGACAGGAGGAAUAGGAGCACCACAGGCCUUCCCUGGUGGCUCAACUGUACAGAAUCUGAGAAUCCAUCUGCCAACACAGGGUGCUUGGGUUUGACCCCUGGGUCGGGAAGAUAUCCUGGAGAAAGAAAUGGCAACCCACUCCAGUAUUCUUGGCUGGGAAAUCCCAUGGACCGAGGAGCCAGGUGGGCUCCAGCCCUUGGGGUCACAAAGAGUCAGAUACAACUUAGUGACUUAACAACAGCAAGGAGCACCAGAAUUUUGGGCAAGCCAGUUGCAGAAGAUGACACUGGAU
ensembl:lncRNA